rnacentral:rRNA from 1 species
AUUGAACGCUGGCGGCAGGCCUAACACAUGCAAGUCGAACGAGUGGCGGACGGGUGAGUAAUGUCUGGGAAACUGCCAGAUGGAGGGGGAUAACUACUGGAAACGGUAGCUAAUACCGCAUAACCUCGGAUGUGCCCAUAUGGGCUUAGCUCGUAGGUGGGGUAACGGCUCACCAAGGCGACGCUCCCUAGCUUGUCUGAGAGGAUGACCAGCCACACUGGAACUUGUACACGGUCCAGACUCCUACGGGAGUCUGCAGUGGGGAAUAUUGCACAAUUGGCGCAAGCCUUAUGCAGCCAGGCCGCGUGCAUGAAGAAGGCCUUCGGGUUGUAAAGUACUUUCAGCGGGGAGGCGUUACCCGCAGAAGAAGCACCGGCUAACUCCGUGCCAGCAGCCGCGGUAAUUC